rnacentral:rRNA from 1 species
CGAGCGAGCUGAACAGCAGAUUCACUUCGGUGAUGACGCUGGGAACGCGAGCGGCGGAUGGGUGAGUAACACGUGGGUAACCUGCCCUAAAGUCUGGGAUACCACUUGGAAACAGGUGCUAAUACCGGAUAACAACAAUAGCUGCAUGGCUAUUGCUUAAAAGGCGGCGAAAGCUGUCGCUAAAGGAUGGACCCGCGGUGCAUUAGCUAGUUGGUAAGGUAAUGGCUUACCAAGGCGACGAUGCAUAGCCGAGUUGAGAGACUGAUCGGCCACAUUGGGACUGAGACACGGCCCAAACUCCUACGGGAGGCAGCAGUAGGGAAUCUUCCACAAUGGGCGAAAGCCUGAUGGAGCAACGCCGCGUGAGUGAAGAAGGUUUUCGGAUCGUAAAGCUCUGUUGUUGGUGAAGAAGGAUAGAGGUAGUAACUGGCCCCUAUUUGACGGUAAUCAACCAGAAAGUCACGGCUAACUACGUGCCAGCAGCCGCGGUAAUACGUAGGUGGCAAGCGUUGUCCGGAUUUAUUGGGCGUAAAGCGAGCGCAGGCGGAAAGAUAAGUCUGAUGUGAAAGCCCCCGGCUUAACCGAGGAAUUGCAUCGGAAACUGUGUUUCUUGAGUGCAGAAGAGGAGAGUGGAACUCCAUGUGUAGCGGUGGAAUGCGUAGAUAUAUGGAAGAACACCAGUGGCGAAGGCGGCUCUCUGGUCUGUAACUGACGCUGAGGCUCGAAAGCAUGGGUAGCGAACA